AUUUCUAGCCCGUACUUCAGUGUUUUCCAUUUUAAUCUCAGAGCAGAGAUAACUCUAGAUGUCUUAAAGCUUGCCUGGUCUCUACAAACCUUAUUAGAGAUCAAAAGAAAGAAGACAUGACUUCAUGCAGUCCUGGGCUACGUGUCGCACUGAAAAUACUCUGGAGCAUUCUGGGAAGAAUCUUUCCUUCAUUUUUACUGCUGCUACCGAAGCAAUGUAAUUAAUGCUACAUAAUCACAGAUAAGCAUAACUAUUAUAAGUGACGGCUUCUCAGAAUUGAUGCCAAAAAUGUAUCCUGAUUUUUGUUUUUAAGCUGCAUAACAAAUGCUACUGAGCACUAGUGAGCACAGGCAUGUAAUUCCAGAACUAUAUGAACAGCAAGAGCAAGCUCUUGAUUCCCACAGGAUUUUUGCUGCUGCCAAGUCUGGUUCUAUAAAACAUUACCUUCAAACGUAGAGAAGGCCAAGCCAUAUGCUGAAUUACAUGUGUGUAAUUUCAAAGAUUUGAGCUUUGGUGCUAUCCACAUUGAGAUAAAUACUGCUAUUUGCUUACUCUUCCUUCUCUUCACACACUUUUGUUCUUUCUGAGAUGUGAUUCUACAAUAUCCCUUCAGAAAGCAGUAGUUUGAGAGAAUGUCUUCCUUCCUCCAGCAGUAAAGCAUAGUCAUACAGUCAUUACAAACAGCAUCAUUUCUUUUUGUCUUUCCUAUGCUGAGAAAUAUUGGUUUACAAUGGGUUAAAAAUCUGCUACUAAGCACUGGCCAUUUUAAGGUGUAUUCUUCUCUCCUGCUGAUUUGCUCUCUGACCUUUUGGGGGCCAGGGCAGUUGCAGACUUCAUUUUUACUCUAUUUCCUGGUCUCUCUCCUGGCUGUGCACUCAAUGUUUCCACAGCAGAUUAAUGACAGCUAAUAAUAUCUGAUAUAUCUGGACAUUGCCACAUAAUGAGUUGCAGUCCCACUGGGUGCCCGAAGUGUCACUACUAACAAAUUCACCAGAGCUGCACAUAAUUAGCAUGUAAAGGGAGUGAUCAUGCAGUAAAUCUGGAGGGGAAGAUGGAUAGCCCACGAAGAAAAAAAUAUAAGGAAAAAAACCACUGUUCUUAACACUCAUUGGUAAAUGUAUGUUUCUUGGCAUGAAUAUUUUCUUGAUAACAAACUGUGAACAGGUUACCUCUAUAGUAACAUUAUUUCUUCCACGGCUGAUAGGCAGAAUUUCAUUAUGCCACUGCUAAUGUUACAAUAUUUCUGCAAAAUGUCACCAUAUGUAAAUUAGAAGAGGUUAGGGUUUCCAUCUCAGUUUUCUUUCAAGAUGCACUGUCCCUUCUUGCUGUGGCCUAACUCUUCCCUCUGUACUUUCCAGACUUGCUAACAUUGUCCCACCUCUUGCAAAACAAAACAGACACUGGAAGACCUUCCUUCUCUAUUAGCACAGCCAACUAAGAAUGAAAAACUCAACACAUGACAGAGACCAAACAUAUAAGAGUAUAAACCAGUUUCCUUGAUGAGAUCAUAACCAAAGUACAGUCUUUUCCAUCAUGUCAGCAAAUGGCCAAUAAAGAAAACUGGGAUGCACACACAGUGAGUUACCUGAUCCAAUCUUAACACAUAUCUCCACCUUGCAACCAUCUAGCUGCCCAUCAUACACUAAGUGCUGCCUGCAAACUGGAUAGAUGCAGACAAAAAGGCCUCCCCAGGAGAAAGAGGUUGACAAGGGGCAGAUAGAUUGAACUGAAGGGCUAUAUUCAGCCUGAACAGCCCUAACUGGGGCAGUUCCACUCUUGUUUAAGUCACUCGCUACUUCUCAUUGGUCACCAUUGCUGAAGACUUCAUUCUGUUUUGAGAUUUAUUAGUUUUGUUUGCGUUUACUCCGACUUUAAGUUUGUUUGGGCAGUUGGCCUAAACAUGGCUAAUGAAAAGUAUGUGUAUUUUGAAUUUAUUAUCCUACUGAGGAGAAGAGGUCUUUGGUCCUGAAGGUUUCAGUCUUUAACUUGUUCUUGUGCAUAACUGAGGGCUUUGCCACAAUAACUUCAUGGUCCUUACGAUGAGCAAGCAUGAGCUGAUUCAAUGCCAACUUCAUGUUAAAGGCAGAAGUUGUGCAGAACUCAAGUACUAGCCUCAGUCUGUGAUGCUGAAGAGCACCAUCAAUGAACCUUGACACUUCAAAAACUGUGAACUGCUGCUUAGCAGUGCAGGGAAAUACCAUGGAAAUAACAGUAGCUGCUUAUGUCCUAUAGUGCAUUCCUGUUCCUGCCACCGUCAAGCAGCUAAGUGCACAAGUCCCCUAGAUUAGCUGAUAAACUCUGAAAGUUUCUGUAUUUGCGACUCACACUAACUUUCAGGAUGUCUAGCGCACUGUCAAAGAAUCACCCUUUGGAGUUGGGUAACUUUUAUCUCUUUUCUAAAACUGAAGUUUCCAAACUGUAUGUUUCAUUGAAAAGUAUAAACCCUGGAGGCUUAAAAGCAGCCCAGUUAAUUAUGAAGUGAAAACUAAGAAAAGAACUCAUAAGCUUUGACUUCAGAAAGUGCCAUGCUACUGUCUGGCUCUAUUUGUGGGUGUUUUUUCAGGGGAAAAAAAAAAAAAAAACCACCAACUUUAAAUUCUUUAAAUUUCCCAACAAAUGACUACUUCAAUUUUGAAUCCUUUGUUCUAAUACCUUGCCCCUGCAAUCUAUAUGGUAACAAAGCACAAUUACUCACUUCAAAAUUCACCUUCCCCACAUCAUCUCUUUAUAUACAAAAGGCUCAGAUGGAGGGAUAAAAAAGAAAAAAGGAAGAAAAAAAGAAAGCUUAUGUUGUUUGCCUUGUUUUAAUGAAAGAACGAACCUCACAGACCAUCCAGCUCCCACAGGAGCCUUUUUUAUGCAAUCUUAAUGAUAAUUAACUGACAGUGAUUGAUGGCCAGUACUGAGGUAAUAGAAGAUACGAUCAUACUAUUCUAUCCAAUUCACUUUUCUUAUGAGUUUUUGUUUCUUUCUGAAUAACAACAAAUAGAUUAUUUGUACAAUUUGAAUUUUGCAUUUAAAGUUCAUCUAAAACACAUUUGCCCAACUGCUCUGUCACUUUGCUGACUGGGAUUUCAUAUCCUCAGAUUUCAUUCUGUGUCAAGUUUAGGGAAGGCAUCUGCUUUCGCAUUAGAAACAAAAGAAAACACUCACGUACAUUUCCAUACAUAUUGUAAGUAAAAAACAUUUCUACUGGAAAAUGGUCCCAAGCACACUGAGGCCAUACAAAAAUUUUGAAUAUGUCCACACGGAAUUUUGUUGAAGAGAACAUGAGCCUUUUUUAGUCUAAUUUCAAAAUAUUGUUGUUAGACAUCUCUAAGGGUAUUCUUUUUUAUAUGCACUGAGCUAUUUUAUUACAAAAUCACCUUUGCUGAAAACCUCCCAGAGUCUCACAACUCUGGUCUUGUUAAAUCUCAUAGCGUCUCAUAUAAUGUAAAGAAUGACUACAUGAAAUGACUAUAUUUUAUGAUUUAUUCUUCAUAUCCACUUUCUAAAAUAAUUGUUUCCAUUAUGCCAGUUGUGUCAGAUUCAAAAUUUUGUAUAUAUAUAUCAACUUCUUUGAAGAGGUCUGUUGCCUUACCAGGAAAACAGUCCAAUCUGAAAUGUGUAUAUUACACAGAAGACUACAUGUCUUAAACUUUUUCAUUUGACAGGUGAAUUCUCUCUAGUAUUUUAUCACUUGUUACAUUUAAAUGAUAUUAUUUUAACUGCUUUUCUGAAAGACUUUCUCUCUCUUAUUGGUUCAAAGAAAAAUAUGUUCUUUUUAGGCACGCAGCGUUCCCUUAACAGUUUCAUUACCUUUUCAGCGUGUCAUUAUAGAUAACAAAAUGUACACACAAUACAUCCCUUGGGAGUUGGAGCUUAUCACGGUGCAGUGCUUUCAAAGUGAGCGCUUUAUACCACUUGGCACCCUGAGGACAUGUGAGGUGACACCACUGAUCUCUCAGGAGACAUAUCACUGAUUCCUUACCAGACUCAGCGAUGAAGCAAUUAGUCAAUAAUUGUACUUUGUAAAUUCUACCUACCUCCUCCCACUCAUAAGACAGAGGUUGCAGUAAAUCUGCAUCUGCCUGGUCCUCAAGGCAUGUUCUGUUUUUGCCUACUUUUAUGCCCUCCUUGAUGAGGGCAACAAAUCAAGUUUAGUCAUCCUGCACAGAAGGAUCCCUCACUGAGUCAGACACUGCCAAGCCCCAGCUACCAGGCAAGACUUCCGUGGAGGUCUAUCAACAAGUCUCGAUCAUCUGUACAGGUUAUUGCUUAGGGACAAGGGACACCUCUUUCAACCCAAGGGCUGCCUGCUGCCACAGAAGCAUUCCUUUUCAAUACAAUCAGCGAUCACUUGAUACACAGGGGACCUUCAGGAUUAUGACCAAUAAACCUUCACCAUUACGAGAAGAACAGCUAGUAGGGCAAGGAACAUACGGUAUGAUCCUUACCUGCUUCCAGAUCUUUUGCCAGAAAAAUAAAGAUGAGUACCAUCCAAAAAAAUUAUGGUUGUUUUGAGAUAUUGGGAGUGAGACAUAUCAAUCUCCAAAGGAGCAUUCAACAAGCUGCACUACAUCAAAGUACUGGGCUGCAUUCUAACAUGACUGAAAGGUUGACUUCAACAUGUUUCUGAUUAGGUAAAUGCCAGACCAACUGGGACAAAUGGCAUACGUGUGAAUCUCAGCAACACUAAGUAUCAAACCCUGAAUUUUAUUUAUUUAUUUUUAAUUUCCAUUCACUCUCAUUAUCCAUCCAAUAUCUGAACUUUUGGCUAUCAUACUCAUCUGAGUUUUAGGGUUGAAAAAAAUUUACUCCUUGCCCAGCACAUUCAGAGUAGAGUUCCAUUCAAGCAUAUUUGACAUUCACUCUUGCAUUACUGCAUUGCUUUCAAGAGUCAUGAGCAGAAUGUGUGCUUCACAGCAUUUAUAUUCUAGUUUCACAGAAUUCAGAGAUAAACUGUAGCAAGUACUCUCUAGAAUUUCUCUAAGUCUACUCAUCUGUCAGGAGUAAACAUCCUCAUCUUUAAAUCUUUCAUAUAUUUAUGUCAUGACCAGAAUCCAUCAUUUCAUAUAGCUAAGAACAACAUAGGAUGAUCUGGAUUUAGUAUUGCAUAGCUCACAAGCCUGCCCUCAAAAUUUACUAUAAGUGGGUAAAGCCAGCAUUGUUCUAAUUAAGCAAUGUGAAAGACAUAAAAUCUCAGAAAAGAAAUGAGCUAACCCCUCACAUAGUAUGAUGUUCCAUCACAACAAAUAAUGAAUAAACAAAAUUGGUCUUCUUAUCUUGGCUGGCUCAUGGUAAUCAACAACAGAAGUAGCAAAAAGCACAGCUCUGACAAGUCUCCAGGGCAGCACCUAAAAUGCCAGAGGCAUGGAAGAAAAGACCUUGCAUUGAAAACCAACUCAGUAACGCAUUUUGUCAUUAAUUGCUUAUAAAAGAUAAAGUUCUUAAAAAUAUCUGUUUUUCGGUAGGCAUAUGCUACAACUUCCUCAGUAAUAGUAGUGACUCUGAGGUGCCAGUAUCUUUUGAACAUCUUUUUCUUCCAUGGUAAAUCCACUUAUUUCCUGCCAUAUCAGGCUAGCUAGGCAAUUAGGUGAGCAGUGGGACCUCAAGGCUCGGACAGUGCAAUUUCACUUCAGCCUUCGCUGUGGAAGUAGUUAACAAGAUAUUGGCUCAAAGAGAUUUUCCUAGAUUGUUAGCUUGACAUGAUCAGGCAGGCAGUAAUAUAAUGGGGAGAAAGACCCUACUGGAAUUGAUUAAUUUGUCACCAUUACCCAAGACCUGACAGUUUUUUCAUACAUAUAUGAAGUGUCAGUGGUUCCAGCUUAUUUCUCUGAUUAGAACUAAACUCAUGUAGUUUGGGUUCAGAAAGAAAUACAAAGUUUAAGAAAUUUAGUUUAACCUCAUCCAAACCACCAAGCCUCUUAACCAUACAAAGAGAUGAAAAUAGUUGAGAAGAUGCAUUUUUAUUAAAACUGAGAUUGUUGCUUUGUCUGGUGCACAACAAAAUACCUCCAUGGGUUACUCAGCAUUUUCCUGCUUGUCCUCAGCUGCUGACAUACACAGGAGAAAAGCAUUGCUGUUAAACCACAUUUUCCAAGCUUGUAAAAUAUCCUUAUUUUAAAAAUCUUGUAGCUUUUAAUUGGUUCGGCCAACCACAAUUAUUAGAAGCCACACUAGAACAACCAGGUAACCAGCAAACUCUUCUAAAGACAAGUGUUCUUGUUAUUUCUUCAGUUAACAUUUAUUUUGCAUGUAUCCAUAAAAUCACUACAUGGAAAGACUGUGCAUACACAGAACAAGUAUUGGCUUUAUUUUCUUGCCAGGCAGCAUUGCUCAAGCACAGACCUCUUGACAUUUAAUAUUCAUAGUGCAGAAGCAUCUACUGAUUCCAAUAAGAAACAAGAAACAUUGCGAGAGAUGUCAUACAAAAAAAAAGUCACAGUUCUGCCACAAAGUACUUUCAGUUAUACAGGUUGACAAAUCAACUAUUGCCACACUGUGUACAGUGUAAGAAAUAUUUUUCAGUGAUUUUCUAGUCACCUUUAAAAAGAAUUGACACUAUAGGUAGCUCUAUAUAGUAAUGCAUAGGACAUUACUUCAGCAGUUACUGAGGAAAAAUAGCUACAUCACCUUACCUUUGUGCACAUGUAUUUUAUGUCAGCAGAAAAUUCAACAUGACAGUAUUCGCAAAGCUGAAUCUUAUUCAGAAGACAAAAAAUAAAAUUAGGCUAAAAUGAUGUACAAAGAAGAAUUAACAAUUUUUUUUUUUAAUUUUCAUCUUAAUGGAAACAGUUUGACAUUUAAUUUCAGAAUUGAGUAAUUUUGCAUUUAUUUAUUUUUGAGAGAUGCACCCCUUUUCCAAUAUUUCCUUCCCAAAGAGACAAUCUAAUAAUGGUCUGCUUGUGUCUGUGUUAACAGAACUUUAACUCUUAAUGAAUAGGAGAAAAAAAAAAAAAGUGGUUUUUUUUUUAGGUUUUGUUAAUAACAAUAUAAUUAUAUAUAAUAUAUAUUAUAUAUAGAGAGAGUAAUUAAAAAAAAUCAAAUCUUUGCAUAGUCCUCUUAGCCAUGAUUGUUCUUCCUUUCUAGGAGGCAUAUUAAGAUAGAACAGAUUACUUUUGAGGUGAGUUUAGUGUUCUUUGGUAAACGCGCAUUACUGGCUAUGAACAGCUUUCCCAAGGCUGAACAAAGCUGGGUGAGAUCCGGGCAUAGGAGUAGUGUCCUCCAGUCACAUAGAUCCCCAGCUCUAUCUUCGGCAGCCCACUGACAGCUGCCGGCAACCCAAAUCCCCCAUAUGAGACAGUACAGGAUGCUCCUUCAAAUAUCUCCUUGAUGCCAAGAAUGUUUCUAUGGUAAUUCUGCAUACAAAAUUACAGGCUCGUGCUGUGUAAGAGGCUGUGCAAGGGCCCAAGGAGAUGAAUAAGCCUAUCUAAGGUUGUGCAUACCCAGGGGGCUUCCAUUAUUUUGGGUGCAAGGAAAUACAAAGAUGGAAUAAUAACAAUGUUGUGCUGCACUUCAAUUGUUAAAUUACUUCAAUACCUUGCUCACAGAUGUGCUCAUGUGAAUCUAAUCAAGCAACUCCUCUAAGACAGCAAAGAUUAUUUUGAGAGAUUAUUCCUGUUUUUACUACAGAAAAAGAAGUGCCAGCCUUUUAGGAUCAUUUGUACAUAAGUGCAUGUGUGUGCACACAAACACAGACAUCUUCCCUCUAUGAGCACACGAAAAAGCCAAGGCAAAAAAAUUCCCACAUACAGAACACUACUCUGAGAAAGAUAGGACUUCUAGUAACAGAUUUGCAUUUUCAUGCAAAAAAAAGAAAAAAAAAAAAACCAAAACCAAAUAAAUCCAUGCCAAAAACUUGUCUGAUUGCUUAUCUACUUACACAUUUGUAACAAAGAACAACAGGGCAAAAGAAAAGGUGGCAUCAUCAGAAAUGGGUACCUGAAGAAAAAAGAAAAGAAAAAAAGAUUUUUCUAUGCCACUCUAAGUCCCAGAAAGGGGAGCCUUUCAAUAUCUUCUCAAAUAAUUUUUGCUUCAGACUCUAAGACAGCACAUUCAACAAUUCAAUUUGCUGUUCGAUAAUAGGGACCCAGACUGGCUUUUUAAUGCAUAAAAAGAAGUUGCAUCUUUUUUCUUUAUUUUUCUGUAUGUUUGUUUGUUGCUUACUGACAUCAGAUUUCCUGCAGGCAUCCUAACCUAGCAAUUGAAGAAAUUGCUCUAGGGUUUUCCAGGCAUAUAAUACACCUGGAUAAAAAGUGCUAAUUGUCACCAACUUCCAUUAAAUGACAGCAGUAAGGCACAAAAUGUGCUUGAUUUGCAGACGCUAGUGCCACUGGGAGUUAGCAGCAGAUUAAUAAUUGUGCAGACCUCAAACAUUCCCCUGGCACUGACAGUCUGGGCUUCCAACACAAUGCCAGAUUAUGAGGCCUUUGCUUUUAGCUUGCCUUCCUAAUAGGGCUCAGGCAAUUGCAAGGUUCCUCUGUACGUGUGUUUGACUGUUUGACCUUCCAGAAAGACUUCUGGUCAAUAUGAAUACAAUUUUUUGUGGGAGGGUAGAGGUCACAAACAGGCAAUAGCCUAAGCGGUUUUCUGAAAAGCAGGCAGCUGGGUGGACAUCAUCAAGCCUGAGUUUAAGUGCUCCUAAUAUCCUGACUUGCUAGGUUCUUGAAGAGAACUGAACCCUAAUUCUGUUCAUUCUAUUAGCACUAAGUCACAUGAUGAUCACAUCAGACUAUGUUCUCAGGUUUUUUCCAUCUUUUUUUUUUUUUUUUUUUCAAUUUCAUGUCAUACACAAGCUUGAAGCCUUGAGUGCACAUCAAGCAUUACGGUAUUGCACAGAUAUAAUCUUAUUCCAGCUCCCUGCAGACAAAUUCAGGGGCCAACGCUUUGCCUUCCUCUUUCUUCUCGCUCUGCUGUUUCCAUUUCCUCUUUGCUCUCGGCACACGUGGGCACAUUCUCUUGGCUUGGAAGAAACCAUCUCAUGGCAUGCAAGCUUGCUGACGGCUCCAGUGGCAUUACAAAGCUCAUUUCUGCAUGCAGCAACAUGAUUAUGGAGAAGGAGAGGGCAAGGUUGAACGAAUGUGCUUUAACACUUCUUUCUUGGUAUUUAUGACUAUGCCAUAGCAUUCCUGUAACCUGGCCUGCUGCUGCUCCAGCUGCUUGUGCAAGCUCCUGAUCGAACGCAACAGCAGGAGUCUUCGGUACAUUGCUAGCUGGAGCCGAUACUUCUCCUUUUCCUCCUUUUUCUUAUUUUCUAGGGUCUCCAUUACUGUUGUGGUCUUCAUCCAGAUGGCUGAGCCCAGACUGCAAGGGUUGCCCUCAGUGCAGCUCUCCACAGGCCGUGCGCUAUCAGCUGGCACAUGGCAGCACCUGAGGUUGUUCACCAACAGGGCCACGACUGCCCUGGGGGGCUUACCAGCCCCGUCAGGCAUCCCAGGGACACAUGAUGCUUCUGAAUCCUGGUCACAGCUACAGUAGACACUUUCAGAGCACGGUGAGGCAAGGCCCCUGGGCUUGGGUUUACAGAUUGUUGUAGAGCAGGACAAGUCUCCUGCUGAUGCACUGACAGCCAUCAGGUGGUGCUUGGCCAAGGCAGAUGCCUUGCUCUGUGCCUGGCUGCCACUGAUGACCGCUGAUGGUCCAGCAAGUGCUUUUGCUUGGGCCACAGCCUUGCUAGAGAGGACAGACAGUCUUUCUGGCACCUCUGAGCUUCUGUUGCCUUCACUAAGGCCAGCAUAGCAAUCAGGCAAUGCUGUUUCAGCAUCAUGAAAUGGGUCUUCAUCAGAGUUUUUCUGGGUCUCCUCUUCAUCUCUUAUUACUGCACAUGUUUCCUCAGCCAUUUAUUGCACGAAAUACAGAAACUUUCUGUGGACAAAGUGGAAGCAAGAGGAUUUCAUUUCCACAUACACACAGGCACACAUACAGCAGACCUACGCAGAGUGACAUUUGAAGUAAGAACCUCUCCUUGUAUUUAACCAAUGGACCUAUUAAUUUUCUAAUAAAGCACAACCCUUGGGUCACUUCAGGCCAUUUUUUGUGAUUUGCAUUGGAUGUUCUUCGAGACACAACAUUCAUCCAAUAAUAAUUAAAAUGAUAUACUGUACUAUUAACAUUCUCAAAUCUUUAAAGCAAAGUGAUCUAUCCCUGCAGCACUGGCUUUGCUGACUAAUUAAACAGAAUACAGUUGUAAAUGGCUAUUGUAAGCACUUCUCCCAUUUAAGAACACAGCUCUAGCAAGUGUAGUUCAUAGAGAUGGGUGAGUUAUCAGGAUUGAUCUGCCCUAAAGAGGUGGAUGUACCACAAACAGCAGGUUUCAUUUAAAUGCCCUCUCUGAGAUUAAUCUGUCUGCUAGCAGUUUGUUUACAAGGUUGCCUUUUCCCCUCCUACCAACUCUAUCAGCAGAGCAAUAAUAGUACUAUGCUAGUCAUAGACAGGAAAAAAAGAAUACUUACCGAGGUUAGUGGGGGAAAGAAAAAGAGUUACAGUGCAUUGUGUCUGCGCAUCAUGUUUUCCUGAAUAUGAGUCAGCAAAAACUGGAACAGAAACAUCACUGUGAAGAAGCAGGAGCAGCAACAGCAUUACUCUAUUCCACCCAGCAACAACACAGUGAAUCCCAAUCACUGAGAAGUGAAGGGCUGACUUCACCCCCUCCUCCCCCCCCAUCCCUUCCUUAUUAAGAGGAUAUUCCUCCCUAGUAUUGAGCUUUGAUGUCAUCUUUGAGCAUCAAAAUGAAAACCGGGAUUGGAUGACAUUAUUUUUUACCACAGAUCCAAACAUCCCUGAUUCACUCAAUAUAUGGGGAUGAUACAAAUGGCUCAUCCUACCUCUGUCAAACAGCAAGGAGCAAAUACAGCUCCCAGAAGAGUGGAGGGCAUUCUGGACUCCAAUGCAUACGUGCUCUUCUUCAGAGAAAACAAACUUAGAUAAACUUUAGAUGCAUAAACCCAAGAUGAAACAAGCUUUUGGCACCAACUGAAUGCUGAGCAUAAAGGCAGCCAGAAGGUGUAGAUUUAAAUGUCUAAUAUACACUUAUAUUUAAUUAUGCUGACCUAAUCUUUCAGGGAAAAAAGAAAAAAAAAACAACAACUCUGCAACCAACUUAAAUAUCCAAUAAAAUAGUAAACUUCAUCUGCACCUUUGAUGUUUAGAAAAGCUACCUUCAGCAUCUUCUCCCACUUGUAAUGCCAGGAACAAAAUUCAAAAAAUAUCUAUCUGCAACUACUUUUGAGAAUCUGCCACAGGGCUUACACUGCCCUGAGGCUUUCUCUACUUUAUUCUCUUAAUAUGAAUAAAAGAAAGAACCAACCCAAAAUACUACCUAGAAUCUUCCUGGAGAUGGGAAAGAAUAAGGGUAGAUUCUAUCUCCACUUCUAUAUACAAUAGAACACAGAUAAUUAUUAUUUUUUUUUAAAUGUUUCAUCUGACUAUCUCUCUCUCUAAUUAAUCUGUUAAAUGAGAUAUAAUUCCAAGGUGGAACAUCUGAACUCCAGCUAACAAGUUCAGAUUUACACCCCAAAGUCUACUUGAACACUGUUUUCUUAUGUGUUCUAAAAAAUAUUGUACACUGAAUCGGUGAAAUAACUAAUUCUGCCGCGUUUAUGUGCCAAAUCAUGCUGCAGACUGUAUAAUUUAGACUAUGAAGAGAUUAAUAUGCUGUGAGUAAAUAAACUUUGCAAGGUUGUAUCUUAUUAAUUUCCAUUUGUCUGAAUCAGAAGUUAGGGUAAUUGGCAAGCAUAGAACUCAGAUACCAGGAAUUUUACUCCAAGAAUGAUCAUUAGAAUACAACAUUGUGCAUAAUCCUAGUUUUGGUUGUUCUCUCUCCAAAGCACCGCAGGUAUACCUUGCCAUAUAAUCAUAGGCUCCAUAGAGUUGGACUAGAUGACCUUUAAAGGUCCCUUCCAACUCCCCUGCUAUGAACAGGGACCCCUACAGCUAGAUCAGGUCGCUCAGAGUCUGGUCCAGCGGGGCCUUGAACGUCUCCAGGAACGGAGCAUCCAACACGUCUCUGGGCAACCUGUCGCCCUGCCUUCCAAUUACAAAGAGGACAGUGGAUGGGUGUUGUAAGGUAAUACAUGGUCUCAAGCUAUGCCAACACGUUUCUACCAGUCAGUCAUAAUAUUCUGUUCUCCACUUCUAAAUUUGCAGCAAUUUGCUACAAAAUGAACAUUUUCUAGUAGUCCAACAGAACAUUAGAUAAGAGGAUAUAUAUUUUUCUAAUAUUAAAUCUCUCUGGAGCUUCAUUUUUUUCAGCAAAUUUUUACAGGCAGCAUUUUUCUUUGAAGGGAAGGAGUUUAAAAAGCCAUUUUGCAUAGCAAAUUUUUUAAUAAAAAAUAAUAUUAAUUUUUUAUAGAUGUAGACCUAGAUGGAAUAAGUGACAUUUGAUACAAUCACCUAAAUAAAACUACAAACAAAAUCAAAACUCAUUGAGCUAGAUGGUUCUUUACAGAAUGUGACUACUUCAGUGGUGACCUAUGAAAUUCAACAUAAAAAAAAAAAAAUCAGCCAAUUGGGCUUAGAGCUUUAGCACAAAAAAAAUACAGUAAGAUACAGAGUGAUACUGAAAUGGAUUAAGAUGUAUCACCUAUAGGCAAGUGUGCAUGCAUAUUUCCCUUUUAUUCUGUUUUUCUUUAUUCAUAGUUUCCCAAAAUUUCAUCUAGUACAUCAGAUUGAAUUUUUCUAGGUUCAGCUGGUGCCUGAAGGUGAAUGUCUAUUGAACACUUCAGACAAGGAUUGAGAUACUUAAAUUGGAAAGCGGGAACAAAAGUAUGGGCUUUCCAAGAAAACAGAGAGAUCAAUAGAUACCUUUCAGGAGAAUUGCAUUCUGUAUUUAUAGCGAGGGUAUAAGGAAGAAGAACACAGUCUAUUUCAAAUGGAAACACGUAAAUUCUUGUUCCAAGACAACAAUCCUACUUUCCCAAGAUUGGACAAAAUAACUCCUAUUGGCUCUCUUUUAUUUACAAAUCAACAGGUUAACAAAGAGACAAGAAAAGACCUUAUAGAAGCUACUUCUGUGAGAGGCACAUUGUGCUAUUUCACUUCAUGAAGAAAGUGUUGGAAGAGUUUGCUGCUCCAACUGAGAGUCUGUUGCAGGCUUUAUUGAAUGCCUGUUGCUCACUUUGGACCUCCUUUCUUAGGUUAAAUCUGUGUGAAGCUUUCCAGGCAGAAGCUGCUUCAAAUUUCACAGUGAAUUCAUCUGUCAGUCCAAUACAAUGAACAUUUCAGGUAUUCAGAAUGAAAGCAAGAGCGCUUCCAGUUGAGGGUCACUGCUUUUUAUUACUACCCAUUCACAGGUAGAUGCGACCACGUUAGUUUCAAGGUGUAGACUCUACUUAUUUACCUCUAAGCUUACCAGCCAUGUACAUCCUUGCAAGGUCUGUGCCAACAGUGUUUUUUUAAAUUCAUCGCCUCCAUCAGGUAUUAGCUGUGAUAGGUACUUGGUAACCAGCAGUCUCAGAACCAUAAAUGUGUUCUUAAGUGUUCCAUGGUUGCAUGUUUGUGUGAUUGGGGUGCAUGUUAACACAUCACACAAGGACACGAAAGGGUCAGAAGAGAAUUCCUGCAGAGUCACAACAGUUAACUCUCACCUUCCACUGUAAGGCCACUCAACGGCUUGGACAGAUGUGAGGACAGGAAGUCUUGUUUUUUAUUAAAUACAAAUGUUUUACUGAAGUUCAAAGCCUAACAUUCAAACACACAAGCAGCAUCAGAAAGUGACAAGUGUUGGUGGAGACAUGCCUUUACAAGACUUUGGCCUGGGAUGUUACGUUGUUUUGUAUUUGGGUUUGGGGAGUACUUUUAACAAAGUAGUAAAAAAUAUCCUAUUACACAGUAGUGUAAUUCCAUAUUUUAUAUUAAUUGCUCUUAAAGAUCAAAAGCUAUAUUCUGUCUGUUAAUGUACACACUCGCAUGGUCUCCUAUGAAAUCAAUGAGAUCCACAUGUGUGCAUCUGAGACCUAAAUUUCUCCCCAAAGAUUCUUUAAAAUCCUUUUACAGAGCAGUAAGUCAUAGAAGAAAGUCAUGUGUUCCCUUUCUUCUGCCUCUAUACCCAAGCCAGACAUGAAUUAUUACUGCUGCUCCGAAUUACACUGGAUGAUAACGGUACCCAGAGGGGUCACUGGCCAGCCAGAGAUUACCAUUGCUCAGCAUGUUCUGUUCUCACCUUCAUACAUUCCUCAUCAAUUCUGCAGUCCUCUUACACCAGCAAAGAAAUGCAAAAUAAAUGCAGCCCAGCUUCACACUAAGUCUACUGAGGAGACUGGAAUGUGCUAUAGGUAUUUAAGUGGCAGGCUGAAGCAUGGUGGGAUACCACAAUGGCUUUCUAUGGCCUGGCAGAACAAAAUUUGGUAUAUGCACACAGCUGCAAUGUAAUCACAUUUGCAGAUAACUGGAAAGAUUUUAGACAGAAAGUUAAGUAGAUAUGUAAUUUUACUUGUGGGAAAAAGUUCAGUGUCUUCAAAAAUGAACAUACAGGAAUCCAGUCAACCAUCUUUAUAUUAAGUAUAAAAAAACCCACUGAAACAGUCUGCCAUGAUUGGCAAAAAUUAGCAAGACUGCUGUCAGUUUUAGCAGAAUUGCCUAUGAGAGAUGCAAAUCUCUGAAAGAGUAGCUCAGGCUAAGUCUGAGUUGAGUUUACAAGCUUGAAAAUCUUGUGACAGCAGGUACCAAAACAGCUUGAACACUAGGAAGGGCUUGAUGACAACUUUCACCACAGUAUUUCAGCAACUCAACUUCUAACCCUGCUUGAGCCCAAAUAUUCUCAGGGACAUACAAUGAAAAAUAUACUGAUAUGGCUUCAUGAAGAUAUCCUAACAGCAAAAUGCUUUGACUUUCGAGGCAGCAGCUGUUCUCCCUAUCAUCUAUAUGGAGAACAUUAGCCUGUGAUUUGAAUUCAUUUUAACUAAGAAUAAUGCUGUCCUUGCCUAAACCAGUACACAGUACACAACCCACCAUCUGAUCCAUGGAGCCAUGUUGGUACACUGAAACAGUCACCAAGAAGUUUCUAAAGUCUUGUGAGCUCAGGCAUCUACUUCAGCUGCAACAGCAGGCGCUUAGCUCUGCACAGAGGCUGAAGUGGAACUGGAAGAUCAAUGGGCAUAUGUAGCUGGGGUCAUGCUUGAUUCAGUGUAUGUCAAUUCACUGACUGAAGGAGGGUGACUUAUUUCAAUACAAAGAGUAAGUUAAGAAUGUUCCAUAACAGAAAGAAAAGGAGGAAGUAUUAGAUAUUCAGGGCAUUUGCAGCACAUGCUCUGUGAGGUAACAGAUGAAAAGAGAAAGCUUUAUAUUGAAUUCAAAGAAACAUGAAUCUUGAGAACAACCAAUUUACCCGUUGUUUUUUUUUUUUCCUCCAAUGAAAAGAAUGGCUGUCUAUAAUCCAUUACAAUUGUACCAAAAAGAAAAAUAUGAUUAUAAGCUGAAAAAAGGCUAGAUUGCAAAUAACAGCUUCCUUCGGAUAUUAGAGUGAAAAAAAUCCCAAACAUCAGUGAAAGUUUGAUUAUUUUUUCCAAGAAUAAAGAAAAGAUUAAGUUUAAUGGUAUCAAAAUUAAAGGUGAACUUCAAUGGUUCUCCAAUGGAGAAAAUAUCUUAAUUUGGAGGGAUGCCUACCAUUUUGUUCAGCAAUCAAGAAAAUGUGGAAGAGAAUGGGGAGAGAAAAAAAAAGAAAAAACUAAGCAGAAAGAUCAGGUAACUGACAUGCUACUAUAGUCUUCGUAUGGAGAAGAGAGACUAAAAAAAUCUUCCUGCAAAAAAAAAAAAAAGGUACUUGAAAUAUAUUUGAAUAACCUCCAGUAUUAAAAGAUUCAUAAGUAUUGCUCAUAAAUUGUUAGAACUCCAUGCCUAGCAGGUAAACAGUGGAUUACUCAACAUAGCCGUUAGAUUUCAGAUGUGAAAAUGAAAGUAUGGACUCACGUGUCUAGUUAAGGUUCACGUUUUGUAUGCAUUGAGGGAAAAAUCCUUUUUGUUGAGGAAUAUGUAAACAGAGCAUGUAAUUUUUGAUAACUGAUGUUUAUGUUUACUUUCUUUUUGACAUUUAAGUAUAACUGACAUACUGAUGGCUAAGGAAAGAAGACAACUAAGCUGGAAGAAUAAUAAACAGAGCGCUGUGAGAGAUGGAAGAGAAGAAAAACAUGGUGGGAAGAACUGAGGCAGUGAGGCUAAGUUGCAAAUGAGCAGACAAGUAAUAGCUUGGUGUUUCACCACAAUAUCAAAUGAACUUUCAGAACUUUUCAGAAGUCAAAUGCAUUUAAAAUAAUUAACGAGUUUGCUUUAAAAAGCAUAUGCAUCUUCUCUCUUGUCUGUUAAGCCAGAAUGAUACAAGGAGAGAUUGUGAAGAAAAUUAUAUCUACAGGCAUUGUUUUUUGUUAUUGUUGUUAAAAAUAUUUCCACAUUAAGUGGCAAAAGAAAAAGAAAGAAAAAAAUGUAUUCAUGUUCUUUGAGCCUAACAAUUUCUGUGAAUCUUAAGAUCACUCUUGAGGACCCAACUCUACAGAUCAUCAUCAAGAGGUAAAAAAAGAUCACACCUGGAAAGAUCUGAAAAAUUCUGUUUUCUCAUUUAGCAUGCCUCCCUGCUAAACAUACGUGUCAAUCCUUGCAUAGCACCCCGAGCAAUCCAGCUUUACUCAUAGUGUCUGCAUAGACGCCAAUACUGUUUGUGUUCAACACAAACAAAAUCAAAAACUUUAAGUUCACUUGGGGCUGAGAAGGACCUUAAUACCUUUGAAGCUAUUAGUGUGACUGAAAUGGAUGAGACCAAACAGGAUACACAGCUGUCACCAAAACCCACAAACUGAGCACUAUGUAGUGUUGCUGAUAUAAACCUCAUUUACAUGAGAGCUAACACAUGACUCUGAGAGAAGGCACAUGGACCACUGGGUUUGAGGUACGUGAUCAUGUCCUUAUCUUGCACUGCUCAGCAGACUGUAUUUUUGCACCCUGCUUCCAGAGGUUAGCAUAAGCAUGGAAAAUUCUUUUACACAUUUAAUUACACUCUUACAUCUAGAGGCCCUUUGCUCAGUUUAUCAGAGUCCAACUUACUGUCUAUAGAAUUAUUAUCAGACAAAUCCCUGUCUCUUCCUUCUAAGUAAAAGGUUUAAGAGAUUAGAAAGUAGAAGAGAAGCCAUAUACAGCUAAUGAAGGACAAGCCUCCAAAUGUUUGGAGGUUUAUUUCAGAGAUACAUAUCUACAUACACUUUUUUUAACAGAAGAACAGAUACAGAGUCCAAUUUUGACUUGCUUAAACAGAGGACAGGAUAAGAAAGAACACUCUGAGAUACUACCCUUCUGAAGUCUCUAGCUGAACAGAAGAAAUAAUGUGUUUCCCAGCAAUAAAGAGUAGUUAGGUACUGAAUGUCAAAAUUGUAAUGUUCUGAAGUUCCCGGCAGCUCUACCUGCUUGAACCCCUGUUGAACCUCCCCAGGCUACCUCCUUGAGCCCCAGGCAAAGGCCCUGCUACAAUUGAUAUCUGUAGUCCUAAAUCCUUGUCAUACCCAGAAGGUGCUAGCAAUCUGCCAUUAAACUCCAGUAACACUAGGCCAACAUUUUACCCUCGGUUAUGCUCACAGAGCUUCCUUUAGUGCAAUUUGACCAACAUUAAAAAUGGAGAGCAAGAACAUCAUCAGCUAUCAACGCUAUGUUUGCCACACUGCAAGCCUUCUCAGCUAAAGCACCACCAGCCUCACUACUUUUAGUUGUUCCAAACGAGAUUCCAACAGCUAGUGGAGGUAUUGUACUAAUUAAGAUUUUGAGAGUAGAAAGCAAAAUCAUCCUGUCUGACCUCACACUUGGCAUAUUACAGUUCCUUGCUUUCCUACACGAGAUUGUAUUGAUAACAAUCAAUUGCCAGUAGGGAUCUGAGGCAGUGAGGUAAAUAAAUAUAUAAAUGCCUCCAUAUGUGUUCUCCACUUCCUUAGGCAAAAAUAAUGAGUCAAAUGAGAGAAAGAUCUGCAGCUCUCUUUUGUAUAUAGUUGCUGUACAUAUACCAACAUGGAAGAAGCCUUCCACAGACUUCUGUCAUCACUCUGUGUGAAAAAGCUCUUUUAAAGGAACAGCUACCAAUAGGCAAGUGAGCCAGAAUACUUUUGUGCAGGAAUGUGCGUUUCUCACAUAGCUCAGGCUACCAAAAGGAAUACAAAUAUUUGCAGGAGUAGAAAAAGAUGCAGAAAGGACAGUGAAUCCUCUCACUGCUGAAACACCCUAAGUAGAAGCAGUGGAGACUCCAAGGAGAAGAAGAGUCUGGAGAAAUCAGCAACUUAAGAGUAACAGUGAAUGAGAAGAAGAGACUGGGAGAGGGAAGAAAAAGGCCUCUGGAUUUCCACCAGAAUUAAACUGGAGAAAUGGGAGCAGGAGGGGCACAGGAGAAGCAGGUUAAAGAGAUUUUGCUCCUAUCUUCGUCAGCAAAGAGGGAGUAGGAAACAAGACCCGGACAGCAUUUCUCCCAAGUCUGCUGCUCUAGGCAACUGUUUACUUUGCUUUUGCCCAAGAUAGCGUGAGACGUUAUAAAAUGAGUUUCCACAAUGCUCUGAGUCACCAGAAUAUGGAUGAGAUCUGUGGAUUCAAGCCACCUUUCAAGAUUAUGAAUCUCUUCUGAAUAUCCAUUAUGCCAAUGAUACAUAACAAAAUCACUGCUGUAAUGUGAUGCACAUGUCAACUUUAAGGAUACAGUCCCUGCUCAGAUGGCAUCAGCAUAGGGAAACGUCAGCAUGGUGGAUUACCAGAGCAAAUGCUUUAACAUGCAAUGUGAUGCAAUGUGUUUUAACAACAAUUGUUCCCUUAUGUUUGUUUGUGUCAGGUUUGACGUGACUAUCCGCCAGGACAAUGCUCAGGAUUCUGUGUGUUGCAUUGCAGAAACUGAUUAUGUGAUCAAAUGCUUAAAGCACAUAAAAUCACGCCCAAGAUUCGAUGAGAUAUAUAUGCCAGAAAAUUCAGUAGGUGCUUAAAGUAAUUGACGCUAACAGCUAGACCUGGGUUUUUCAAAGGAAUAAGCGUUUUUGUUUGUUUGUUUUUCCUAAUGCAAUAUAAUAUAAACUGCCUAGAAAUUCAGCCUUAGCAUAAUGUUCAGAUCAAAUGAAAUUCACCCGUUAAGAAAGAACAUACACAGGGUCCUCCCUGAAGUGGAAAAGACAGCCUCUGAGUAGAACAGAUACCCUGGGAGACUUCUUACCCUGUGCACAUGCCCAAAAAGACAGCUCUGAAUCUAACUGCAUUGUAGAUCUAAUGCUUGUAGGAUUUGGAGGCUCAACGCUGAGCUGUAGCUCUCAGCAGCCCUUUUUCCCCAGUCCGUGAAACUCAGAAUCCAGUGGAGACAAAAACCUCUAUAGAAAUACUGUAUAUGUAAAUGGACUUAGAAGAAAAAGGGAGGGGUACCUGCUCUUAAAUUAGUCAUAUUUAAAAUGUAUUCUCAGAACACACUGAACUAUCAAACAGUCCCCAAAGUGAAGAAAUGUGAUUCUCAUUCAAGACUUAAGAGCAAAAGGCAAAACAACUGUGUCCCUUGCUCCAAAGUCAUUAUCUCACAUUAAGACUUCAUCCUGUUCUCCCAGUUCAGAAUUUAGUCUGGUUCUAAUGGCUCACUAGACAGUUUUGCAAGAUCUUCAUGCUCUCAUAGGUAUUUAGGCACUGAAAUCAGUGAGAAGUGGUACCUGUACACUUUCAGAAAUCUGUCUUUAAUUUCAACAUCCCAUAAAUUUUUUUAACAAAAACAUCCUUCAUCUUUUCUGCUUCACAAGUGAGUUGUGAAGCUUAAUUACACAAUGAUUAUGAAGUCCAGCAAAUACAACAUAUAUUAAGAGUAGUUAAUGAGAUUUCUGUCACAAGCAGACUCCCUCUUGUAAAAUAUUACUCACAUGUUGCAGGAAAAAAAACUCAAGAGAAAAAAAUACAGAUGCAUUAAAUAUAAAACAAAUCUAGCUUGAUUACUUCCACAAAUAAUAUGUUAUACAACUCUAAAACAUCUGUCAGGACAGCAUAGAGAAUAGCAUAGGCUUUUCUGACCAGAAUGGAAUCCUGUCAGCACGGAAUUCUGUCAGCACAUCCAUGUACUCAUUUUUACCUGCAGUGCCCAUCCAAGACAGGGCCUCCAGACCCACACACGAUCUGCUUCCCAUGAGAUCUAGUGGCUUAAAUACCUUCAAAGACCAGACAUGAAGUUCUGUUCCUUCAAAUCACAGAAUCAUGGAAUCAUAAAAUGGCUUGGGUUGGAAGGGACACCCAAGGAUCAUCAAGUUCCAAUCCCUCUGCUGCAGGCAGGGCCACCAACCUGUGGUGGUUGUAAAUAUUUCCCAAAAAGAUGCCAGCAUACUAACCAAUUACCACAUUUAACAGCACAGUGGAAGAUGGCUAGACAACUAUGAGCAGACAGACGAUCGUACAGAAGGCAUUGCUUGCAUACUUAGUGAUUUCUCAGGCCAUAACAAAGCAUACAGCCUAACUAGGGUAGGAGGACUCAAAAGAGGAAGACCAUUCCUUAAUAAUACAGAGCUCUUUGGCACAUUUCUUUUCUGUGAACAAACAGUGUAGCUGUUAAAAUACAUUUCCUGUUAGCAAUUAUGGCUCAGAGCUCACAGACGCUUUUACAGAACUUGGACAGGAGUGAUUUUCAGUACAUAGUGUCUCUAACAGCAAGUUAUAUUAAUAUUCACCAAAGGAAAACCUGUUUGUUGACCCAAAGUGUGACUGCUUACAAUUCUCUUCUUGUGAAAUUAUUUAGGUCCUGUGGGACAACUGUACUGAGCUUUUGACGCAAAUAUUAAAAUUCUAUUUAAAUGUACAAUGUUUUAAUGCAAAUUUUUACCAUAAAACCAAAUGCUCCAUUCAGUUAAAUUAAUAGAAUUACAAAAAGAUGUAAUGAUAGCAAUUAAGUCUUGAAAAUGCAAAUUUUAUAGUCAAGGACAAUUACCUCAUUUAUAGUAUCCUGGAAUGAUGCCAGAUGAAGGUAAUUUAGAUCUCCCUAGCUCACAGUUAUAUCAUGAAGGAUAUCUUAAUUUCAUUAGUACAACAAAGAUGGGUGAGAACUUGGACAAUAUGAAAAAAAAAAGGGAGGGAGAGAUGGGAGAGAAAAUUUGACCUUUCUCAUUUCACCGCAACUAGAAUACAUAGAUCUUACUAAAGGAUUAGUAAUAUUUCUUUCUAUUCCUAUCUCUGGGGAAAAAAAGGGGGGGGGGGGGGCACUUUUUUCUUUUCUUUUUUUUUAUUAGCAGCAAUGGAACAUUAGUAUGAAAAAGGUCAACUCCCUUCAGAUUCUUAGAGCCACUAUGCCCACAUCACAACAGUUAUGGACCAUUCCUUAUUUCAGUUUUAAGGAUGAAUACAGCAUUGGCUCUUGGCUGACAGAGUAUCAAGCUAUGGCCUAGGGACACAUGGUUUUGACUCCAAUAUGAUUUAAAAUGUUCUAGAAAAAUUCUUCUUGCUCUUACAAAUACAGCCCCACUUCAUCCAAAGAGGCAAGUCAAAAAUCAUCAGUUUCUCAUUAGCAAGCAAAGAGUGAUCAAGUAGACAAAGAAUACAGAUUGAUAUGCCAUAGAUUCAGUAGUCUCCUUUGAAGGAAAAACAAAACCAAACUCUCAUACAAGUUCUUUAGCACAUUAUCAAGUUCAAAUAGGAGUUUGCAAUACUGCAGAUAUCCCUCUUCCUUUCCUUUCUCUUUGCUGUAGUAGCUACCCUUGACCCUUGAAGAGAUUUCAAAAAAAAAGCAUAUUAAAUAAGGUGCACCAUAAAGUUUAAUUUUAAAACUUUACAACUCUCAAUUUUUCUUCCUGGCCUGUUGUAGCCACUGCAAAGAAACUCAACUUCCAGAAAAAUAGCUGCAUCCACCUAAAAUCUUCUUACAUCAAAUUCCCUUACCAAACCUAACAUGUAGGCUCUGGAGAGAGCGGAAACCUCCAAGGACAGAGUAGCAAACUUCACCUCUCUCCUUAUCUUGAACACAACUAACAAAGAUAACAUGAAAAAGCCUUCCCAAGAGUAGAAAUAUCUGCUUACCGUCAGCAUUUGGUGGUUUUGCUGUAGAUGGUGCAUGCUGAAGCCAUCCCAACCUCCUGCUGACAAACCUUUCCUUAACACCCUGAGAUAGGCAGGUUCUAGAGGAUCGGCUUUAUAACUUCGAACAGCACCACAUAGCGACAGGAAUGCAGCAUUACAAACCCCCAACACUCCUCAGAAAGGGUUUCUUCCAUCCAGUUAUUCUGUUUUAUGAAAAACAAGCCUUUUCUGAAGGAAAAAGUACCUUAAUUUUUCAUGUCAACGAUGCUAUCAGUCACCUCUGCCGCUUGAAAACAAUGGAUGACACUCUGGCUCAAGGAAAGCCACCUGCUUCCUUUGGGGUUAAGACAUCUUUUGGUGAAUUUCAUCUCCUAUCAAGCAAUAGCAAAAUUAGAGCUUGUACCACUAUUGCCUUCGUUCCGUGCUUUUGAUGCUUAUAAUCCCAUUACACCUGACAACUUAACCUGAGCUUGUUAUUCAUAGACAUGUAUGGUCUGAUGAAACAUUCCCAACUCCUGAAAAAUCUUUUUGUGUGUUGUUGGGAGAUUUGGCCUAAUAAGAAGUGCUUGAGUGGGUGUAGACUGGGUAUGUUUGUACCAUAUUAUACAAUAUGGCUUAAAUUUCCAUGGCAUUUUAUUGGAAAGUGUGAACCUGACAAGCUAAUAGUUUGUGAAUCUGUUGAGUCUCUGCUGUUGCAUGGAGAAACGUUUUGUCUAGGCUAUUCCCAGUAUGCUUCAAUUGUAAAAAAAACAGGCUGCGAUCAUAACACAUCUUCAUGUAAAUCAAAGUAAAUUUCUGCAGGACAAUAUUUACCACUGUUAUGUACCGCAGAUCUCCCAAUUCCUCAUUUGACCUAACAGUCGGAAUGAUCUCAGGCCAGCAAUAAGCUGAAUACUGGUUGCUAAGUAAUAUUUAAUUUAAGCAUGAUGUUGUGGUCAACAAAAUGAAUUAGCAUUUUCUGCAUUAAUGAAGAUCCAGGCCUAAAAUCAAAUGAUGAUGUCAAAAAAUUAUGGAAAGUAUUAUUGAUCUAAUUCUUCCUUUUAUUACACUGACAGAGAAACAUGCUUCUUGGAAAUGUUACAUGUGAAGGAAGAAUUUUUCCUAUUGCAUCUUCUUUCAAGAGAUUCAGUUUUCUACUCAGAACUCCAAGAGAGUAAUUUACAUUUGUGAUCACCCAGCCAAUUCAAGGCAACUGUGGAAAGAAACACUAGUAAGAAUUCAUUUUGUUGAUCUUAUCAUAAAUGUGAGAGAGAUUUAGCUUUAUCCUAAAUUCCACUAAAUCCUAGAAUGCAAUAAAGAAAUAAUCAUACAUGAAUUUGAGUCAGUACUGUUCCUCGUCAUUAUGCCACCUGACAAGCUAGAAAGCAACUUCGCUAGUGCAUAUUCAUUCCAAAUUAAUACAGUAAUUCUGAAAACUGUUUCUUUUUUCCCCUACUUUUAUGCAUUUAUUGCUUUAUUUCUCUAUUGCUAUUUCCAGUCCAUAAUGCAAUGCAGCUUGUGGAAUGUAAUCCCCUUUCUUCUCCUGACCAAACUCCACUCUGAAUGCUGCAUGGAUGGGAUCCUUUCUUUUCUGUUUUUUUAAUGUUUUUCUUCUCACUUUACAUAUUCUCAAAAAUGAGAUGAAUUUCUGAUUAUUUUCCAUUUUCCCCACUUUAUGAAUAUUAGAGUGGUUUUCUUUUGCAAUGUGGCUUGGCCUGCAUUUCAAAGUCCACAUUUUGAGUGGUUCCCUGUGAUUUUUGGACACUUGGCAUUUUCUGGGUCCAACUCAGAGAACUGUUUGAUUUUCAAAUAUUCAGAGCAUUCUCAAAGCCUGUUAAGUACAGACAAUACUUUCAGUGUUCUUUAGGUCCUUUAGGCUUAUUUUUUCAUUAACCCAAAACUGAGGUAAAAAAAAUCCUGUGUUCUAUGAAUUCCACAGUGUUGUGCAGAGAAGGGCAGUGGGAAAACUGAGUUAAAUGCAGGAUUCAAGUUUUUCUGACUCUUGCACAACUUGUUGUCUAAUGGACCCCAUAGGCUCUCAGCAACACCAGCUGUCUCUAAAAUUCAACCAACAGUGGAAAUGACUACUGCUGUUCUGUCCAUGGAAAGCAUGAAAAGGUUAUUAAAAAAAAAAAAAAAAAGAAUGGCUUGCUUAGAUAUCACACAAAUGUAUUUGCUUUUUUUUUACUUAGUGAAAAGGCUGUAUUAUAAAAGUAAACUUUUCAAAACAGAAAAAGUAGGUAUCAAAUACAGGAAAGAAACAAAAAGACUAUAAAGUAAUCUUUACAAAAGCAGAUUGCACUGACACUGUCUUGCUCACAGUAACACACAAAGUAAUUUCAUAAAACCCAGCUUUUAUCUUGUUCUAAUAAAACAUCAAGCUAGCAACAUUAUGGUGAGGGCUUUCAUUUUCUUUUCGAUAUAGAUUCUGAUUGGAAGUAUUAGCUGAUGCAGCAGGAUAAAUAAAGAAAUGCCUAGAUUGUUAUGGUUCCCAAAGGUCAUUUUUAUGAAAAGAUCAGGAAAUAUGUUUCAUUGAAAUUAAAAGUAAAGCCAUAUCAAGUUUAAUAACAUUGUUACCAUAAUGACAUAAAAUUCAGUGAGAUGGUGUAAUGUUUAAUAUUUGACUGUCAAGCCUCUGCAGUGAAGCUGUGUGAAAGCAUUUAAACUUCUAAAACUGAAUUUCCUUUCAGUUUUAUUGCUGUUUUAUACCCAUCUCCUUUUUUUCCUUGCCGUAAUAUUCUGUGUUUCUUUGUUGAAUUUGAUGUUAUCAGUAAAAUACAAUAAAAACUCAUGGAGGGCCACAUCUCUGUUCCAUAGAAGACUUAGCAAGGCAUCCCCAGAUGACCAAAGGCUGUCUGUGCCAAAUCAUUUUUUCCAUCAAGUAAGAACCCCAGCAGUGUUGUAGGGCAUGGCAAGAGGGAUGCUGUCAGGGCACAGCUACCCUCUGGGUUUUCUCAGUUGUGGCACUGUCAGAGGUGGAUUAAUAUGAGAAGCUGUAUCAGCCCUCAGCGAUUCUGGGAAAGGUCUGGCAUAAUGCCACUGUUCCCGGGUCUGCAUUCACAUAAACAAUUGUAAAGACGACUGAAGCCAGCAACUGCGAAGCCCGAGUGGUCUCUGGCUUUGUACAGCCUUUUGUUGGACACUGUGCUGAGUGCUAGGAUCAGAGAAUUGAAAAGUUUACAGCUUGGCACAGCUCUGCAAAAUUCUGAUUUUCAGAUAAAUAAACAAAACCCUGUCUCCAUCCCUGGGACCAAAAUUAUUCAAUACACUAAACAACAAGUAACAUUCUGGAAACAAAUUCUUUCUUUAAAAUGCAAGCUUGGUUUAGCACAUUUUCCCAGGAUGAAUUUCACCAGUUUAGCUUAAGAGUUGUUCAGUCUCAUCAGUGUAAAAAACAAGUAGCUGUGAACAUUCCUGAAACACUUACUUGGAGAUUCUCAUAAAGGAAAGAUCUGAGUGCCCGAGCCACCAGAGUCCAUACAACCACAGAACUGCUUGAGUUGGAAGGGACCCUUAAAGUCCAUCUUGUCCAACCCCCCUGCAAUGAACAGGGACACCUACAGCCAGAUCAGGUUGCUCCCCUUUAGAUACUGAAAGGCUACUAUCAGGUCUUCCUGGAUAUUUCUCUUCUGCAGGCUGAACAGCCCUGGCUGUAAUACAGCUAAAUAUUCUGAUGGUUUUACUUCAUAGUUUUCCAUCAGCUUUGGUUGCUGACAGACGAUGCAAAGAUUGAGGAUUUAAGCUUGCUGUAUUUGUUCUCUUUGUCUUUUUGCCAGACUGGCUGUGAUGAGCAGGUACUGGAUAUGCAGUUUGGUCUGUUGCAGCUGUUCUAGUACAUAAUCUGAUUCAAAAACAGGGAAUAUUUGGAGGCUCUUAUUGGUAAAUACUGCUACUAUGGAUUUUAUAAGUACUGCAGAUGUGCCCUUGCCACCUUUGAUCUAGUAACAUGGUGCUUCUUACUAUGUGGACAAAUAGCUCUGAAUGUACAACUCAAAGAUUUGCCACUCUCCAUAAACAAGCUUCACUUUCUGCCAUUUGUGCCUGAGGUUAUUAUUUGAGCUGUGUGGAUCAUUCCUUACGAAAAUUAGAACUGUGAGCUAUUUAGCUGGACUUAUCUUUUCUAUAAAGGUGAAACUAAAUAGGUCUGACACAAAAUAGCUGUGGAAGGAGAGAUUCUGAUUCUCCUUGGAGCUUGUUUUAUACAAAGACCAUCUUAAAUUGCAUGUUUGCUAAUUCCUUUCUCUUAAAGACCUCAAGGAAGGCAGAAAGUAUGAUACAUCUACAUGAGUUGUACCCAGCUCUAGGCUGAUAGAGACUUUAGGCAGUAUUAAAACUGCCAUCGAUUCCAAAUCCCUAUCUUUGGGUCACAAUAAGACCAAUGAAGGUCUGCACAUGGGCCUUAACACACCUAUGUUGCUGCUAUCUUGUCUCCUGAAGCAUGACAUCCUUCUUAUAGAUUCACUGAAUCACCAUGUAAACUUGUCUAAUAAAAGUGGAAAUAAGAGUUUAUUUCUGCACUUCAGUUUUUCUUUGCAUUUUCUGGAAGCAGUGCAAUAUAAUUCAGAUGCAGUGUGAGAAAGGCACUGUGAAAUCAUGAAUAAAGGACUCCAGUAUUCCUUUAUGAAAAAUCUUUUAACAUAAUAAAUUAAUAAUUAUUACUUCUACGGGGUUUUAUUUUGUUGGUGGUGGUGUUGUUUGGUUCUUUUGAAGAAUCCUGUAAACCCUAACAGGAAAUUACAUGUCCGGUGCAAAAGUGUAUGAGAAGAGUCAAGAAAUCUAUGUCAUGGCUGUCAUUCUUCUUUCAAGACUAUUAACCUGAAAUCCUGGCUUCACUGCAUCUUAGCACUAAUUUCAGCAAAAAGUCAGACGUUCACUCCAUCAUGCUUUAGAAGCAACUGUCACUGUGUUAAAUUCUGCUCCUUCUUUCCCAUUCUCUUUUCCUGCUUGUCAGGUAAGUGUCCAUAAAUGUCAUGAGGCCAAAAUAAACUGGCGUGUGGAAAGGGAGAUGACUAGGAACAAGAAGGCAGAAUUCUUUGGUAAGACCAGGUAGAAGUAGAUAGGACAAAGGGUUUGAUGAAAAGGUUGAUGAAGGUUUGGAGAUUGAUGAGGAUUCUACAUCUCAAGCCAAAAUGCAGGGGUUAAAGUAUUGCAGAAUUAUUUGGUCUUCAGUGAGAAAAAUGGUUCUGCUAAGUAGUUAUACAAAUGUACUAUUUAGUCAUUCACCACAAGAAAGUGUCAGGUUUUACUGUUACAGAGCAAAGAGGGACUACAGAGGAACAUACUGCUUUCCUUAGCCUUGCUCUCCUUCUGGAUGCAAUGUUUUGUGUUACAACAUCUUGAAAACUUUUCAGUCAGAGAAAGGAGCAGCCCUGCAGCAAUGAAAGAGCAGGUGAUGGACUAAUAAUAGGAUCUCUUGUUUAUUUCCUCUUCCUUUAUUGAUGAUCAGCCUGUGGUGUGUUGAGCUGGAAGGCAGAAAAAAAAAAAGGCCAGGUCUCACAUUAGCAAGGAGUCCUCCAGCUGUUAAAGGUAAAAGUCAUCCUGGGUGAGGUCAGUCUCUCACAGUGACUCAAACGGACAGUCUUGCUUGUGUCAGCAGAAGCUCAGCUACCAUCACAGCUGCACAAACGUGGGCACUGCUUCUUCAACUAACUGCCUGGAGAUUAGACAGGUUGCUGCACGUAGGGAAGGCAGAAAGAACUCUGGUAGGAUGAACACAGGUUGGAGUGUCGGAGUGAACACUGUGAGCCCUUCCUGUUCAAGGUUACAAGAGAAGGAGGGGCCACAUUCUGAACGUGGCAGGGCUAGGCAUGUAUGGAAAAGCCUGGGAAGCAGCAAGUCUUUUUUCCUAGUUCAAAGGCCUAACCAAGCUGUUCUAGGCACCAUGAGCAUGAGCUGGGAGAGCCCAACAAGUCACUGCCAGUGCUCUGCUGCCUGGCACCAAGGCUGCUUUUUGCUUUCAGAUGCUCUGUUGUUUCUCGUUUUUAUAACACCAGUCCUUGCCAGGUGCUCCUGGGGUCUAUUUUAAGGCAAAUAAAAAUGUUUUGUCUUUCAAAAUAUCUGUGAGAUCUCUGGGGAAAACGUACUGAAAUUUUGGUUUCCAGAAACUCUCACAGAAAGUCUGAAAAUUCAAAACACUGAGAGAAAUUUGGGUUUUGAAUCCUUGAAAGCAUGCAAUCUUACAGUGGUCCUAGCAAUUAAAGCACUGGCAGCUGAUUUCCCAUAGAAUCAGAAGCGCCAGAUAUCAUGCCAGAGGUUCAUUUACUGAGCUGAUCCACUGUGGGCAGAAGCUCAAUGUUCCUGCAAUGGUCCUUAGGGCAAAACAAUUCCCUCAAAAAAGAGAAGAUGAUUCAGAAUUAUUUCACCGAAAACACACCUGGUAUUUUCUGGGUCUACUCUAGCAAGGAAACAAAUCUACAAUAAAACAAGCAUAAAACAAUGGAUAAGACACUGCUGAAUGUUUGGUCCCGUGGACAAGACAGGAGAUAAUGCAGAUCGUUGAUACUGAAUAAACAUCAAACUGUAAGCUGCACUCACUUGCCAUGUUCUGUUUUCUUGAUUAAAUCGAGUUGUUUUUGUUGAGAGGAAGAUAUAGCAAGCUGACAGCCAUACCGCCCUACCUUGCACACAACUCUACAGUAUAGAACUUAGUGUGUUUACAGUCAAUGUUCGCUAAAUCUGAGUUGCCAGGUGAAAUCAUUGCAUUUGCCUGUUUCCUUGUCUAAUGAAAAAAAUGCUUGUGAUAGCACUUGAGGUCACAACAGCACUUGGCUAAUGCAGUGAUGAUUUAAAAAACAAACAAACCAAAAAAAAAAACAACCAUAAUUUUUUUCUGGAUUUGUUACAUGUGGGAUUUAAAGGCAGUUGCUGUACAGUGCCUGGAAACCUGAUUCACCUGAGUCACAAUUCAUCCAAUACAUCACGAUAACAACAUGUCUGAGGGAUGGGAGGCCAUCCAGAGAGAUCUAGACAGGCUUGAGCAGUGGGUCCAGGUGAACCUCAUAAGGUUCGACAAAUCCAAAUGCAUGGUCCGGCACCUGGAUCAUGGCAAUCCCCACUAUAAAUACAAGCUGAGGUACUAGAAGAUAGAGCACGGCCCUGUUGAGAAAGACUUGGGGGUACUGGUGGAUGGCAAGCUGGACAUGAGCCAGCAAUGUGCCUUCUCAGCCGAGAAAGCCAGCUGUAUCCUGGGCUGCAUCAAAAGAAGCAUAGCCAGCAGGUCAAGGGACAUGAUCCUUUCCACCUCUAAGACCUCACCUGGAGCACUCCAUAAAGAUGUGGAAUUCUCAGUACAGGAGAGUCAUGGACCUGUUGGAGCGCAUCCAGAGGAGGGCCACAAAAAUGAUCCAAGGGGUGGAACACCUCCCCUGUGAGCACAGGCUGAGAGAGCUGAGGCUGUUCAGCCUGGAGAAGAGAAGGCUCUGGGGAGACUUCAUAGUGGCCUUUCAGUAUCUAAAGUGGGAGUGUAAGAAGGAAAGGGACAGACUCCUUAGCAGAAUCUGUUGUGACAGGACAAGGGGAAAUGGUUCCAAACCAAUAGAGGGGAGAUUUAGACUGGAUAUAGGGAAGAAGCUAUUUACUGUAAGGAUGGCAUGGAUGUCCUGUCCCUGGAAACACUCAAGGUCAGGCUGAAGCAAUCUGAUGUAGCUGCAGAUAUCCCUGUUUAUUGCAGGGGAGUUGAACUACGUGAGCAUUAAGGGUCUCUUCCAACUCAGAUUAUUCCUUGAUAAUUUAUCAAGGAAGUCUGAGGGCUUGGACAGGGUGUUGAUGAGACACUGAAGUAUGUGGACACCAUUACUUACUAUAUUAUGUCCUCAAGGAGUGGUGUGGAGGGAAUGGCUGCCCUUACCCCAUGGUACAGGUGCUUUUUAUCUGCAUCUCCCAGGAUCCAAAGAGAAGCCCCACUCCUUGAUCACUGAAGAUCAAAUUGAGCUAUUUACCUUCUCAAGUGUUAACAUGCAUUGGUGGCAUAUGCUUCCAAGGCUUUCUUUUGCUUGGUUUUGUUGUAUACAUGUGGAUAAUGCCAGAUAAGAUUUUGGCGCUAAGAAGGUUUCACUGAGUGCUUCUCUUUUCACCUCAUUUUGGUCUCUCCUUCUUUAAUGACCAGUGAAUUACAGUCAAUUAAAGGUGACUGAUAGGAACUGCAGGGAAUACACUCAUAAAGAAUUAUGAAAAAUAGCCAUGUACCUUGUGACCAGCGUAUACAAAUUACAUCAUAAGCAGGAAGUAGUUAUGGUUGAUUGGAGCAAUUAAAUGUUUUCUUUAAGAAAGGAAAAAAACCCUCCAGUGAGAAUAUUUUAGAAAAUGGCUUUUUAAUCAUCUGUAGAACUGCUAGAAUGUCUGUCUUCUAAUAGUUUUAAAGUGUUCCUUAUUUAGAAUUAACUGUAAUUCUACAGAAUAGCCAAAUACUUCCCCAGGAACCUGCUUACAUGAAAGUUUAUUUUUAAUCACAAGAUCACAUCCAAAAAAAUUUACAUAGGCCAAAGGAGACCAGAGAAGAUCUGAGCACCUGUCCCCGGUGUGUAAACAGCUACAAAUUUGGGAGCCAUUGCACAGGAGAGAACACUUUCUACAAUGAUUCAGGAAGACAUGCACACAGCAAGAUUCACCACUCAAAUAAGAAGCAUUAACGCUGACAGAAAAAUCAGGUGUUUCCAGCAGCAUCAGAUGCAUACUAACCAGCAUCCUGCCACAUUAAUCAACCAGCUAAUGCCUUCAGACUUGGCUGGUUCAUCAUCUAUCCUCAUCCCUGUAGACACCACUAGUUCCGCAUGGGCAAGGACACAUUUUGGGAGGGGAAGGACCAUGGCAGCAUGCUGUGGAAGAGCAGUCUCUGCCUAGCAGUGUGGUGAGCUGCAUAUGAGCCACAUGGGCAGAUGACAAGGGACAGCUUGGUGGUGCCCGUGCAAGCCAAUGGGGGAGCUUCUGCGCGUAACAUGCCUCAGCAGUCCACUUUUGCCUGCCCGUGGAUGGGAAUGCUGCUGGUCUGCACAGCCUGGGCAUAGGCAGCGGGGGCAGUGCUGGCAGUGCGUACCAGCACCCAGCACACCAGAUGAGAGCAUGCGAAUUGGAAACUGGCUAUUAUAGACAAUAGCCCUAAAAAUCAUCCUCUUGGUACAGAGAGAACACAUGCCUGAUACUCUACCAAUUGCCUAGCUUAACACUGAGGAUACAGCUCAGGAUGUCAUAUAUGUUCACACCUUCUUUCAAGGAGACUCAUGAUGCUGGAAAAGGGUGAAAAGGCUGUAAACAGUGUUCUUUGGUCAAAGAAACCCAGAACAUGUUUCAUAUAAUAAGGUUAUUUUUACUAUUUUUUAAUCUCAGCAGAAAAUUCAUUAUAUUCCUCCUUUUUCUCUCAGCUUCGACUGUGUAUCCCCUUUGUGCUUGCAAAACAAAGGUUAUUUUUUACUCACCUGUAUAAAAUGCUUGAAGAACUCCAGAUGAUUAAAGAUAUAAAAGUCAAAGGAAAUAUGUAUAUAUGCAUGUUUAUAUAUAAUUGUUGUUACUGUUGCAGUCUGCGAGAAAAACAAAAAUUAUUCCUAGCAGAGCGUCAGGUUUUUAUUUAUUUAUUUUUUUAUGACUUUGGAAGCUUUUUAAUAGCUAGUGAUCAGAUGAAACAACUGCUCUUGAAAUCAAUGAGAACUGGAUUACGUGCUGGAGAAGAGAAAGCUUCAGGAGAAAAUGUUUACAUUACUGUUAUCUUAGAUAAUCACCAUUUCUGCCUAUGUCUUCCAGAAAAACUCAUUUUGUUUCUCUGAAAAAUAUGUAAUGAUUUCAAGAUCAUUUCAGAGGCCAAACACGCUAGAAAUUCAAAUCCAUGAUCUAAAUGCUUACAAAAAGUGUCUCAGAUCAGUAAAAACAAGCUGAAGAGAAUGAGAAGAUACUCUUUGAUUAUCUAACCUCCUUGACUGCAGUACGUUUAUUCUGUUUUCUUCUUACCGUUUUCUUCUUCUUGAGGAUUUGAAAUUACUUCUCUUUGAAUGUAGAGGAUAUAAAUUAAUCAAUAAAGUCAAUAGUAGCCCUUAUAAACAUAGCUUAAAUAUAUAUCUGUGUGUCCUACGCUACAAAAGAUAGCAGCAACUGAAGCAAUUUCCCCCAUGGCCUAAAUCCUAACUACCAUCUAGUUCCAGGAAAGCUAGUACAGCAUUUGCUGUUUCACACAGAUGCCAUAAAACAGACAGACCAUUAAAAUGAACACUGACACAUUUAUAGUCAUACAGCUUGGCUCUUCGCUGUGACGUUGCCCUUGAAGUGUUGAUGUCAUACCAAAAUUGCACCUCCUCCUACAGUGUAAAUUAUUCUGUAAUUCCAUGGUUCUGUGAUAGCACUACUGUGCCCACCAGUGCUACAAUGGACUCGUUAACAGCUGAGCCUUUCCUUACCACUACAGCCUCAUGAACUGCCUCUCUGCUGCUCUUCACUGCAGGAGGCCAGCUUACAUUGCUAUUGGUAUUAACUGUUAACCAGCCUAUCUGCACUCAGACAGAAAUCAGAGUGAAACAGCAACAUUCAGCAUUUCUCAAAAGGUAAUCUAAGUUCUGGAUUUUCCAUCCAAGUGGCACAAAGUCCUUUG
ensembl:lncRNA